rnacentral:rRNA from 1 species
ACAGAGGUCUCAAGCGUUGUUCGGAUUUAUUGGGCGUAAAGGGUGCGCAGGCGGUGUGGUAAGUCUGGUGUGAAAUCCUGGGGCUCAACCCCAGAAUUGCACUGGAUACUGCCAUGCUAGAGGACUGGAGAGGAGAUUGGAAUACACGGUGUAGCAGUGAAAUGCGUAGAUAUCGUGAGGAAGACCAGUGGCGAAGGCGAAUCUCUGGACAGUUCCUGACGCUCAUGCACGAAGGCCAGGGGAGCAAACGGGA